AAUAAAAUCUCAAACCCGCCCAUGGUUCAUUUGAUAUCGUGGGCGGCCGGUCCACGGCCACCAUCAUCCACUUCAAGGACCGUCUUGAGUGUCCGACUGACCGUAGCACAGUGGCAAGCAACCCCCACCACCAUCGAACUACCAAAGAAAAAUAGGGUUAGAGCGUUAAACCCUUCCGGCGGCUCUUAUCCCGGCGUCCUUCUCUGCUUCUAGCUUAGUCGGUGUAAACCCAAGAAGUUCCUGAAGAAAUCACUUCCUCUGAGAACGGUGAAGAAUUUCUCCUCAAAGAGGAGCUGUAGAGAGAGAUUGGCUGUUUCUUCUACUGAUUAUAGGUUAGAAGCGGAGAUUGGGGUUUCUCUUGGAGAGAGAGAGAGAGAGAGGGGGCUAGAAAUGGACCAGUCAUUUCUGUUAAUGCUAUCAAAUUUGCUUCAUCUCCACAACCAUCUAGACCCAACCAUAUCCCUCCUCUCCGACGCCCCAUCCACACCCACCACCUUCUCGGCCACCUCCCCCUCGUCCCUCCUCUCCUCCUCCUCCGCCGCCCCUCUCCUCUUCUUCACCAUCGCUUCCGUUCUCUCCUACCUCGCCUCCUCCCGUCCUUCUGCCUCCUCCUCCUCCUCCUCCGCCGCCGCUGCCGCUGCCGCGGCCACGGCCGCGGCUGCAGGCGGUGGCGCCUCCGUCGAUGACAACCCCUCCGACUACAGCGUCUCCGCCUUCCGGGCGCUCUCCACGGAGCGCAUCUGGGCCAUGGAAGCCCCUCUCCGCGACGCCCAGUGGCGAUCCUCCUACGGCCUCUCCUACCCGGUCUUCACCACCGUCGUUGACAAGCUCAAGCCCCACAUCGCACUCUCCAAUCUGUCUCUCCCCUCCGAUUACGCCGUGGCAAUGGUCCUCUCUCGCCUCACCCACGGCUUCUCCGCCAACACCAUCGCCGCACGCUAUUCGCUUGAGCCCUACCUCGUCUCCAAGAUCACCAACAUGGUCACCCGCCUCCUCGCCACCAAGCUCUACCCCGAAUUUAUCAAAAUCCCCGUCGGUCGCCGCCGCCUCCACGAGACCACCCAAGCCUUCGAAGAGCUCACUUCGCUUCCCAACAUGUGCGGAGCCAUUGAUGGUAGCCAUAUCAAGCUCCACCGCCUUCCUCGCGGCCAGAAUUCGUCGUCUUCAUAUCGAUGCCAACAAGGGUUUCCCUCGGUUCUUCUUCAGGUGGUUGCGGACCACAAGAAAAUCUUUUGGGACGUCUGCGUGAAGGCCCCUGGCGGCACGGAUGACGCGACCCAUUUUAGGGACAGUCUUUUGUAUAACAGACUUACCAUGGCCGAUGUUGUUUGGGACAAAGUGAUCAAUGUGCGGGGUCACCAUGUUCGGCCUUACAUCGUUGGGGAUUGGGGCUAUCCCCUGUUGUCUUUCUUGCUAACCCCUUUCUCUUCCAGUGCCAGUGGUACCCCCACCCAGAAUUUGUUUGAUGAAGCCUUGAUGAAGGGCCGGUCAGCGGUGGUGGAAGCAAUCGGGUUGCUCAAGGGGAGGUGGAAAAUUCUUCAGGAUUUGAAUGUGGGUCUCAAUCAUGCUCCUCAGACAAUUGUUGCUUGCUGUGUGUUGCAUAAUUUGUGUCAGAUUGCUAGGGAGCCAGAGCCGGAGCUUUGGAAGGAGCCUGAGGAGUCUGGGCCUCCGCCAAGGGUGCUGGACAAUGAGAAGUCAUCAUAUUACCAUGGAGAGAGCUUGAGGCAGGCAAUGGCUGAUGAUUUGCAUCAGCGGUUUACAUCAAGAUAGAUAACCUGUCAACAGAGGGAGGAUUUUCAGAACUUCAUCUUAAUGGUUGGUGUGUUUAGGACUCUGCUGAAUGGGAUUGGGUGGCUCGAGUGGUUCAACUGUAUCAUGCAGCUGGGCUUCCUAAUGGUGUCCUCCUGCUGGCCGAGUCAGUCCUUGUGCAGGUGGGAAUUGCUGGAGAAGAGAAACCACAAAUAGAGUUUUGUUUUUUUUUUUUUUAAAUUUUAAUAUAGUUUUAAUAAAAAUGAUUUAGAAACAGUUUGGGUUGAACUUUAUUUCUCAAAUUGAUGCGUCCCAAAAAAUACCGAAUUAUCCAGCUUUUUUUAAUCUGAGAAAAUUCUCAUCGGUUGAUUUGUGGCAAUUAAAGGGAAAAUGGAAAAUAAUUUUGCACAACAAAUUAAAACAAUCACAGAAUGAUGCAAUGGGAGAAGAGACUGUUAUUAUUCCAAGGCCCUCUGCCUCCACUAUGAACCUCUUCUUUUCGGAAAUGCUUUACUGUUGGGGGCACCUCUGUCGGCCCACUACUCGUGGAGGAGAUGCAGUCUCUUGUGAUAGGGCUGCAAGAGAUGGCCCCGCCGCGUAGGCGGAAACGGGGGAAAGUUGCUGUCGCCACAAGGAAUGGAGUGGCUCCGGAGUGGCGGCCGUCGCUGCACGUGAUUUCGGAGGACAAUGUCACGGCGGAUAAGGAGGCGUGCAUGGCAGCUAGAUCUAGGACGAAGGGGCAUAGGUAGAGGUGAUCGGGGCCGUUGUUCGAAGACAUUACAACAACUACAGGCGAACUCCCAUUCCAACUAUUUUUCUGGCAUUCUCUCCAACAGCGGUCUUGAUUCGUCCAAUGUUACACAAAUAAAUACCGCCACUUAGUGUAGUGUCAGUCAAUGAGGGCUCUCCAGGUUGAGCUGCAGGCCAAGCAGCACAUCUCUAUUCAAAGAUCAUCGAGUGUCGUCGAGUGUCGAGUGCCAGUGUUUCCGAGACCAUUUGUACAUCAUCAUUCAUCAUUACGCUUCUAGCUAGGAAGAUCAAGAUAUGUCCAGGAAAGCAAUAGAGUUCUAGGCCACGUUGUUUUUCAUAGAUAUGCCCAAACUCAUGUUAAAAAUAAAAAUAUCUCCCUCACAAUGAUGCGAGACUAGGAUUGGAAGAUGA